CAAUCUUUGCAUAAGGUUUUAAAAAUAUACAUUUGUUAUUGGAGCUUUUAUCUGGUCUUUCUAAACCUGGUGCUAUUUUUUAUCUGCUACUUGGAUUUCUUUGCUUCUAUAUGUGUAUUUUUAAAAUGUCGAUCUAAUCUUGGCUUACAGGAGCCUGCCACUGAGCACAUGUUUGCUAGUUCAUCAGAGCCUAUUCAUCUUUUCCUGACCACUGGUGAAAUCUCAUGGUGUCCAGCUAUAGAGCAAAUCAAGCCUGGAGGCUGCCUUCUUGGAAUGAAAUGCUGCUUAGGGAGAGACCAGAUUCAGUCUUAUGGCUGAGUAGCAAGCAUCCCAGCUCAUUUGGGAGUUUGAUUCAUAUAUUUACAUGUUGAAUAAGUGGUGAUUUCAA
rnacentral:lncRNA from 1 species